UACGUAGGGGGCGAGCGUUGUCCGGAAUCAUUGGGCGUAAAGCGCGUGUAGGCGGUCCGGUAAGUCCGCUGUGAAAGUCGGGGGCUCAACCCUCGGAUGCCGGUGGAUACUGUAGGGCUUGAGUACAGAUGCCGUUGGCGGAAUGUGUCAUGUAGCGGUGAAAUGCAUAGAUAUGACACAGAACACCGAUUGCGAAGGCAGCUGACGAAACUGUAAACUGACGCUGAGGCUCGAAAGCGUGGGGAUCAAACAGG
rnacentral:rRNA from 1 species